UUUAGCGUUGCGAGGGUUAGGGGCAUGCAGGAAAGGGCCGGUGCUCAAGUUGGGGACCGAAGCCAGGCAGGCGCUGACAAGUCCACCAAGCCUAGACGCGUUCGACGCCCAUUGGACUCGCUGGGUGUCCGUCAUCUCGCCACUGCCAGUGGGCUGAGAGCUCUUGGCCCGCCUCGGAAAGAAACAUGAACCCAGUACUCUGUCGUGGCAAAGUGCCGCACCUUCUGGGGCUUCGGUAGAGAAUGACUACAGUGGGAGAUGCUGUAGAGGAGGAAGGCAUUUAUUUCACAAGAUACUGCUGUCUAAGGUAACCUGAGCAUGUUUCCAGUUCUUGCAGCCUUACAGAACCCAGGGAAUCCACCUGUCUCCAACCUUCCUCAGUAGGUGACAGGCCCAUCUAACUGCUCUCUAGCCAGUCUUCUGUAUUCCUGUUGCUUUUACCUUUGCUCGUGUCAACAAGGAGUUUCUGUGGGCUGCAAUCAAGAUGAUGACUGGAGCUGCAGUCUCACCUGAGGCCCAGCAGAAGGGAAGGAUCUGCUUCCAAGCUCACAUCAUUGUUCCAGCAUUCCGUUCCUCAUUGACUAUCGGAUUGAGAACCUCAGUGUUUUGCUGACUGUUUUCUGGAGGCUGCUCUCAGAUAUGACUAGUUCCUUGCCAUAUCCUAUGGGUUAGAAGCAAGUCACAGGUUUCUCUCACACUAAAAGAAAGGAAAUUAUGCAAGAGAAUGAAUACCAGGAGGCAAGGAUCAUGGGGGCAACUUAGAUUACGUCUGCCACACUAAUGUUACUGCACAUUGAAGAUAUUUCUACUAUUAUAAUCUUAGGAUUGGCAUAGUCUGUGUUUUUGAGGCAGGGAAGGAGACAUAUAUCAAAAAAAUAACUGGUGAGUGGAUAAUUGGGAAGAAAUUACAGAAGUGACUAGAUUCUAGAGACUAGAAAGAUUUGGUUCUUCAUUGAGCUGAAAAUAGGAAUAUCUCCCAAAUAAGAGAUAUUCAUGAGAAAUCAAUGAUAGCUUUUUUCCUGAUGGAAAAAUGAAUUAGCUUAUGCUCAUCAGAAGUGAUGCCAAAUUCAGGAGAAAGAAGGCAGCUGACAUCCUGACCAACAAAGAGACCAAGCCCCGAUAACUGGAUUUGAACAUCGGUGAAGAAGAUGAUUAAAGGUAGAAAGAGCCUUUACAGUCUAGAGAAAAUAGUAUAGGCCCAAUGGAAGCUCAAAGUUGAAGAGACUUUUAACAGAAAGACAAAGGAAAAGGUGUCCUUGGGACUAGGGGUCCGAGCAAGACCUGAAUUAUAAACUGAGCAGCCACAGAGAAGCACUACAGAUGUAGCUGAGUUAUCUAGGCCUAACACCAAAUAUUCUAGAAAGACCCAAAGUACUAACCAGCUCUGGCAGCAAGACCAGCCCAUGUCUACCUCUGCAGAACUUUGAGAAUCUUUGGCUGAUUUUUAUUACCUAACUCCCUGUCCAUAAGAGAAGGGAAAGAGACCAAGACUGAGUGGUUGGAUCAGCCAAAGAUGUCAAAAUUAAACUUCAGUUAAAUUAGCAAGAAUUCUGGGCUUUUCUGUUUCUGUAGCAUUGUGUUAGAUUUGUUUUUUCCCUUGGUUUUCCAGUCCUGGUGGUAGAUUGCUAAACUUUUAUAAAAUCUGUGUGAGUUUAGCAUUCUGACUGUUCCCAUUCUAAAAGAUGAAAAUAGAAAACUCAAAGUUUAUGUCACUAAUUUGAUCUUUGUAAAUGCACUGCUAAAUAAAACACCCAAACUAUUAAGGUGUUGUUGUUGUUGUUGUUGUUUGUUUUGUUUUUUAUUUUUUUUUUUUUUGAGAUGGGAUUUUGCUCUUGUUGCCCGGGCUGGAGUGCAAUGGUGUGAUCUCGGCUCACAGCAACCUCUGCCUCCCAUGUUCAAGCGAUUCUCCUGCCUCAGCCUCCUGAGUAGCUGGGAUUACAGGCAUGCGCCACCACAUCCGGCUAAUUUUUGUACUUUUAGUAGAGAUGGGGUUUCUUCGUGUUGGUCAGGCUGGUCUUGAACUCCUGACCUCAAAUUAUCCACCCACCUCGGCCUCCCAAAGUGCUGGGAUUACAGACACACUCAGCCAUUAAGGUGUUUUUAAUUCUUUUUUUUCUUUACUGUUUUUGUAAGCAGUAAUUUAUUAACAGAUGCAAUAAGUAAAUUGAAGCAAAAAAAUACAUCACAAUGCUUAAGAAACUUGCUUAACAGAAAAAAGAUUCCUGAGCCACACUCUGAAAAAUUCUGAUACUGUAAAUCUUGAGAGAUAAAUAGACACAUAUAUGUAUGUGUGGAUAGACGGAUGGAUGGAUAGAUAAAUGGAAAGAUAGAGAUCGAGAUAUAGCCUAAACUUCAUGGCAAGUAUAAGCUACUUUUGGGAAUUUAGGGGAAUAAAAAAUUAUUUUAUCACUGUUGUACUAGGAACAAAGCAGAUUUUCCACACGUUAGCCAGAAAAUGUAGGAGAAUCAGUGAACCUCAAAGGGCCAGCACUAAAAACUGGGCAGCAUCAGUAUCAGUUUUGGAUCCUAGAAAAACUAUUGGAGAUGAUGCAAACAGAAGAGGGAAGAAAGGUAGACAGAGUCUGGACUCAGCUGCAGUUUGUUGAUGACUAUCUGAAUCGUUCCCUUGCAUUCUUUCUUAACGAAUUAUACAUGUGAAAAUUGCACACUUGAAAAUUAAAAUAUGGGUAUGUACUGGAGGGAAAGCACUGAGAGAGGAGUUAGGGGCUGGAUAGGCAGAUAGAGAUGGAGGGUCUAGGGAGAAGGGACAGAAAGGAACAAUGUUCACAGGAACAACUGCAGGACAGCACCUACCCCGCCUCUGCAGCUAACAGGAAGAAAUGUGGUUAAGAACUUGCCCUUAUGCCAGGAUGUUGCUCAGCAGGGACGGUCUCAACUUAGGCACAGGUGCAACAAAUCAACCUAAAUGUCCUUAAUUUGACCCAGCUCACUAUAAUGCCAUUAACAUAACAUUAGCGUUGUGGUUUUAGGCACCUCCCACCAUGGGUUUCACUUAGGCAUUCAACCAGUUGGAGUCACUUUGGUCAACCUUAGGCAUGCGUAGAUAUAGUACCCCAGGAGGGAAUUUUAUCCCUCCCAUGUGGGCAAAACCCACAGAAGACUUCCUGGCUUCUGCCACAUAAAAGACACAGAACACAGACACCUUACUGGCAACCUGCUUUCAGGACCCCUCUCUUCGCUGAGAGCUUUCCUUUUGCUUAAUAAAUUUUACUCUGCCCUACUCACCCUCCAUGUCUGUGUGCCUAUUUUGUAGUUGUGAGAUAAGACCCCGGACCUCACCAAACUCCAGGGGCAAAAGCAGACUGCUACAGCACCAGAGUGGCCAUUCUGCUCGUGAGUUUUGGACUAUACAUUCUCAGUUGGCAAAACAGAGGAACUGUAUAGUAAGGAAUUAAUAAGUGUUCAUUGUUUAGAGAGUACAAACUCUAAGCAGAAAGGAGGAUUACAUCAACUAGGACACUUUUGAAAGAGAAAGUAAAUGGUAACCUAAAGACUUGGGGUUGGAGGGACGGGCAACCAGCAUAAAUCAAGUCUCCCCAUGGGCAAAGCCAGGGAACACAGAAAGCCAUUCCUGCUAGGCAGUCCCAGGGCACAGAGCAGGAUAGAGAAGGGUGAGGAGUGGACCUAUAGGGGCCAAUGGAAGACCUCCAGCCUCAGCUUGUUGAACCACAGCAGGUGUUUCCUAUGGGUCUAACUAACCAAGCAUCAGUUAGCAACUGUGAUCAUCUAAUUCACCUGCUCAUCAAAGCAAUAAAUAAUGCCAACCUCAUUUCAUGUUUUGUAUCCAUGCAAUUAUAAAUAAGAAAAAGAAAAAUAACACAAUCAAAAAGAUCAAUGACAUUUUAAAAACUAAUUUCUAUGUUGUGUCAGGGUUCAAUGGCAGAGCACAGAAUCACUAAGCUAUUUAAUCAGAAAAGGAUUUAUUGCAGGCUAUUACAUGACUUACAUAAUCAUUGGGAAGGCUUAAAAAAUACACUAGACUGAGCUUCCAGAAACAAAUCGCAAAACCACAAUGUAGAACUUGGCCACCAGUGAAACUGCUUCUCUUGCCAUGAUCCAGGAGCCAUCUGCUAAAUUGGGCAGCCUCUGCCACAAUUGCUGGCUCCAGAACCAUACCAUGUGUGCCACAAUCUUUCCCCACAAAAUGAAUAGCUCAAGAGCUGCCUGUCUCCCUACCGAACUCAAUUCCAAAUUCAAGUCUCCCACCAGUGCUACUGUUUGGCAGAGCCUAAAGCACAUCUAGAAUCUAGGAGCAAGGAGUCUGGAAAAUAAAGUGUUUGCUUUCCCGACUCUGCAGUGGUGUGAGAAAUUCUGAAAAGCGUUUGGAAGAGAUGCUGAGUGAGCCAGUCCCAAUAUCUGCAAUAAAUAUUAAACUGUACUGAGGUUGAACAAAUAAAAAAGAAAUAAAGCAAUCAUGAGGAAGCCUCAAGUAAUAUUGAUUGUAAUUAAGAACAAAAAAUAAUAAUUGAGGUACCAAUCGUAGAUUUAGAUUAUGAAAGACACGGGGCACUUGGGAGUGAGAUGAAUAUUUAACAUUGUGACAGAAGCAUAUUGCCAAAAAUCAAGUUAUCAUUUGGUAUAUUUGGAAUGUCUCCAGGGGCUUUAAAACCCUUUUGCCUGCUCAACACACCUCCCUUUCCUCCUGUAAAUGAAUAAUCACACUGCUCAGGCUCAGUCUGAGAUGAACACAACACCUCCACUCUCUGGCCACCGCGAUGAGGCCAAGGGCAAAGCCAGUCCAAGCAGACUCCCAGCCCAGGAUUGUUCUGGCUGAAGCUAACAGGGAAGCCUCUUUUUUUUUUUUUUUCCUUUAUGUUCCCAGCACUAUAUAAAUAUGGCCCUAGAGUUAAUGGCUAAGUUCCCGCUAUGGGUGAUGGCUGAGAGAAUAACCCCAAAGAAGAAAGAAAAGGAGGCUAAGCUUGAGAGGCUUUUUUUGUUGUGCAGGUUUUCUGAGUUCAUCCUUAAUUAAGGCCUGGGACUACCUCUUUCCUCCAGCUUUCUUCAACGCCCGAGGCAUUCAGAAUCCAUGCCAUAAAUCCUCCCUCUUGGAUAAAGAUAGUUUUAUUGCGGUGAGAAUCAGUAGCGUUUAAUUUUAAGAGUUGUAAUAAACAAACCACAGUCUCAAUCUUAUAACCUGCUAUUCCACUAUUCACUUAAAGGAAGGUAGUGUCUUUUGUGUUCCAUGAGAAAAGUGACAUUUCUUUGCUUUCCCAUACAUUGAGGUCAACCUAAAUUCCAAUGAAGCCAAACCUGAA
rnacentral:lncRNA from 10 species